GACGAACGCUGGCGGCGUGCUUAACACAUGCAAGUCGAACGAUGAUGCCCAGCUUGCUGGGCGGAUUAGUGGCGAACGGGUGAGUAAUACGUGAGUAACCUGCCCUUGACUCUGGGAUAAGCCUGGGAAACUGGGUCUAAUACUGGAUACUACCUCUUACCGCAUGGUGGGUGGUGGAAAGGGUUUUACUGGUUUUGGAUGGGCUCACGGCCUAUCAGCUUGUUGGUGGGGUAAUGGCUCACCAAGGCGACGACGGGUAGCCGGCCUGAGAGGGUGACCGGCCACACUGGGACUGAGACACGGCCCAGACUCCUACGGGAGGCAGCAGUGGGGAAUAUUGCACAAUGGGCGGAAGCCUGAUGCAGCGACGCCGCGUGAGGGAUGACGGCCUUCGGGUUGUAAACCUCUUUCAGUAGGGAAGAAGCGAGAGUGACGGUACCUGCAGAAGAAGCGCCGGCUAACUACGUGCCAGCAGCCGCGGUAAUACGUAGGGCGCAAGCGUUGUCCGGAAUUAUUGGGCGUAAAGAGCUCGUAGGCGGUUUGUCGCGUCUGCUGUGAAAGCCCGGGGCUCAACCCCGGGUCUGCAGUGGGUACGGGCAGACUAGAGUGCAGUAGGGGAGACUGGAAUUCCUGGUGUAGCGGUGAAAUGCGCAGAUAUCAGGAGGAACACCGAUGGCGAAGGCAGGUCUCUGGGCUGUUACUGACGCUGAGGAGCGAAAGCAUGGGGAGCGAACAGGAUUAGAUACCCUGGUAGUCCAUGCCGUAAACGUUGGGCACUAGGUGUGGGGGACAUUCCACGUUUUCCGCGCCGUAGCUAACGCAUUAAGUGCCCCGCCUGGGGAGUACGGCCGCAAGGCUAAAACUCAAAGGAAUUGACGGGGGCCCGCACAAGCGGCGGAGCAUGCGGAUUAAUUCGAUGCAACGCGAAGAACCUUACCAAGGCUUGACAUUCACCGGACCGCCCCAGAGAUGGGGUUUCCCUUCGGGGCUGGUGGACAGGUGGUGCAUGGUUGUCGUCAGCUCGUGUCGUGAGAUGUUGGGUUAAGUCCCGCAACGAGCGCAACCCUCGUUCUAUGUUGCCAGCACGUGAUGGUGGGGACUCAUAGGAGACUGCCGGGGUCAACUCGGAGGAAGGUGGGGAUGACGUCAAAUCAUCAUGCCCCUUAUGUCUUGGGCUUCACGCAUGCUACAAUGGCCGGUACAAAGGGUUGCGAUACUGUGAGGUGGAGCUAAUCCCAAAAAGCCGGUCUCAGUUCGGAUUGAGGUCUGCAACUCGACCUCAUGAAGUCGGAGUCGCUAGUAAUCGCAGAUCAGCAACGCUGCGGUGAAUACGUUCCCGGGCCUUGUACACACCGCCCGUCAAGUCACGAAAGUUGGUAACACCCGAAGCCGGUGGCCUAACCCCUUGUGGGAGGGAGCCGUCGAAGGUGGGACUGGCGAUUGGGACUAGUCGCUAGUAAUCGCAGAUCAGCAACGCUGCGGUGAAUACGUUCCCGGGCCUUGUACACACCGCCCGUCAAGUCACGAAAGUUGGUAACACCCGAAGCCGGUGGCCUAACCCCUUGUGGGAGGGAGCCGUCGAAGGUGGGACUGGCGAUUGGGACU
rnacentral:rRNA from 1 species